UACGGGGGGUGCAAGCGUUAAUCGGAAUCACUGGGCGUAAAGGGUGCGUAGGCGGUUGCUUAAGUCUGUCGUGAAAUCCCCGGGCUCAACCUGGGAAUGGCGAUGGAUACUGGGCAGCUAGAGUGUGUCAGAGGAUGGUGGAAUUCCCGGUGUAGCGGUGAAAUGCGUAGAGAUCGGGAGGAACAUCAGUGGCGAAGGCGGCCAUCUGGGACAACACUGACGCUGAGGCACGAAAGCGUGGGGAGCAAACAGG
rnacentral:rRNA from 1 species